ensembl:lncRNA
AUGUGUGUGUGUGUGUGUGUGCGUGUUUGUGUUCUUCAAGCAUAUUUCCUGUUGCGUUGCUUCUUCUUCUUCUUCUUCUUCUUCUUCUUCUUAGAACUGGUCAUCAUGAACUUCUCCACCGCCGCUGUCUCUGCGACGACGUUUGAGCCGACGCCGUAUGUGCCGAUGCCGUAUGUGCCGAUGCCGUCGACUUUCCCGACGCCGUUUGAGCCGACCUCUCCUCCUCCUGGAGUAGUGACGGAGAUACUGACGAAGGGCAGCCACGUGGAUGACGGCGUGUUCGCGGCUUUGAUUGCAGCCAUCGCCGUCUCCGUGCUGCUGCUGCUCGUCUGCAUCGGCGUGCUGCUGCUGUGGAGCUCGUCCAGACACAAAGGCUCCUACGCCACCAACGAGACGGAGGGCGAGGAGGGCGAGGACGAGGAGGAGGCGCUCCAGAGGACCAGGGUGGAGGACUGAGGAGGAGGAAACCUUUAACAUGAAGACUCCCGCUGAGGUGUGGAGGACUAAAAAGAGCUUUUUCUACACUGAGGACAUUUUUCAGAAAAGAGCCGAUCUCAUAAAUCUGCAGGAAGCAACUCUGCUCAUUUUGUGGGACAAAAACUCUCGGACAUUUGAGAUUGUCCAAUAAAAU